rnacentral:rRNA from 2 species
CGGGCUACACAUGCAAGUCGAGCGGAUGAGUGGAGCUUGCUCCAUGAUUCAGCGGCGGACGGGUGAGUAAUGCCUAGGAAUCUGCCUGGUAGUGGGGGAUAACGUUUCGAAAGGAACGCUAAUACCGCAUACGUCCUACGGGAGAAAGUGGGGGAUCUUCGGACCUCACGCUAUCAGAUGAGCCUAGGUCGGAUUAGCUAGUUGGUGGGGUAAUGGCCCACCAAGGCGACGAUCCGUAACUGGUCUGAGAGGAUGAUCAGUCACACUGGAACUGAGACACGGUCCAGACUCCUACGGGAGGCAGCAGUGGGGAAUAUUGGACAAUGGGCGAAAGCCUGAUCCAGCCAUGCCGCGUGUGUGAAGAAGGUCUUCGGAUUGUAAAGCACUUUAAGUUGGGAGGAAGGGCAGUAAGUUAAUACCUUGCUGUUUUGACGUUACCAACAGAAUAAGCACCGGCUAACUUCGUGCCAGCAGCCGCGGUAAUACGAAGGGUGCAAGCGUUAAUCGGAAUUACUGGGCGUAAAGCGCGCGUAGGUGGUUCAGCAAGUUGGAUGUGAAAGCCCCGGGCUCAACCUGGGAAUUGCAUCCAAAACUACUGAGCUAGAGUACGGUAGAGGGUGGUGGAAUUUCCUGUGUAGCGGUGAAAUGCGUAGAUAUAGGAAGGAACACCAGUGGCGAAGGCGACCACCUGGACUGAUACUGACACUGAGGUGCGAAAGCGUGGGGAGCAAACAGGAUUAGAUACCCUGGUAGUCCACGCCGUAAACGAUGUCGACUAGCCGUUGGGAUCCUUGAGAUCUUAUUGGCGCAGCUAACGCGAUAAGUCGACCGCCUGGGAGUACGGCCGCAAGGUUAAACUCAAAUGAAUUGACGGGGGCCCGCACAAGCGGUGGAGCAUGUGCUUUAAUUCUAAGCAACGCCACGAACCUUACCUGGCCUUGACAUGCAUAGAACUUUCCA